AAUAAAGCUGCUUUUACAAAGUAAGUCAGACCAUGGUAUAAAAGGCAUUUGAAAGAACUGUUUUGAAUUCUAGGAGACAAGCACAAUAGUGAUUUCCAUAGUCAACAAGGGAGAAUACAUGAACUUAUACAUAGGUCUACUGGAAGUUUUUAGUAUAAUUCUAUUAAAAUGAAGCAAAUAGAAGAAAUAUGAAACAAAACUUUUGUGUAUAUGUAUGCACAUAUAUAUUCACAUGCCUCUAAAUAAAAGUAAAUACAUUCAAUAUAAUUCCAAUAAGUAAUAAAAAUAAAUAAAUUUUGUAACUACUAGGGAUUUUGAAAUAAAUUACUAAAUAUUCUAUUAUUCAAAGAAAAUUCAACAUACAAUUAUUAUUCACUUAGAAAAUAAUAAAAUAAGAACAUUUUAAAUAAAAACUAAUAGAACAUAGUUAAAUUUAUUUUGAAAAUACCUUAAAGGUCUUCAAUAUUGAAAAAAUAAAGAUGGGGACUGGCACGGUGGCUCAUGCUUGCAAUCCCAGCACUUUGGGAGGCCGACAUGGGCAGAUCAUGAGAUCACGAGAUCAAGACCAUCCUGGCCAACAUGGUGAAACCCUGUCUCUACUAAAAAUAGAAAAUUUAGCUUUCUGGGCAUGGUGGCACAUGCCUGUAGUCCCAGCUACAUGGUAGGCUUAGGAAGGAGAAUCUCUUGAACCCAGGAGGUGGAGGUUGCAUUGAGCCAAGAUCAUGCCACUGCAGUCUAGCCUGGUGACAGAGAGAGACUCUGUCUCAAAAAAACAAAACAAACAAACAAACAAAAAACACAAAGAUGUAAGUGAAGGACAUAUAUAUUAUUCAUUAUAAGAAAUUAAAUAAUGAACAAAAAUCAAUCUGAAGAUAUAUGUAGAGAAAAAUAGUGAAAUUAGUAUGGAAAAUUUUAUAUAAUUUUAAUGCAAAAACAAUAACUGUAAAAUCUGAUCCUUGUAAAAAUAUCAAUAAAACUGGUAAAUUCCUUAAAAUAAGGUUUUCAAAAAUGGAGGACAGCAAACAAUAUUAGAUUAGGACUAAAAAAGAAAAUAUGAGAUAUAUAAAUAAAUGUAAACUAAUCAGCCCGGCACGAUGGCUCACGCCUAUAAUCCCAGCACUUUGGGAGGCUGAGGCAGGUGGAUCACCUGAGGUUGGGAGUUCGAGACCAGGCUGACCAACAUGGAGAAACCCCGUCUCUACUAAAAAUACAAGCAAAUUAGCCGGGCGUGGUGGCGCAUUCCUGUAAUCCUUGCUACUCCAGAGGCUGAGGCAGGAGAAUCACUUGAACCCAGGAGGUGGAGGUUGCAGUGAGCCAAGAUCAUGCCCUUGCACUACAGCCUGGGCAAAGAAAGCAAAACUCUGUCUCAAAAAAAAAAAAAAAAAAAAA
rnacentral:lncRNA from 1 species